rnacentral:rRNA from 1 species
UACAGAGGGUGCAAGCGUUGCUCGGAAUCACUGGGCGUAAAGGGUGCGUAGGCGGGUCUUUUAAGUCAGGGGUGAAAUCCUGGAGCUCAACUCCAGAACUGCCUUUGAUACUGGAGGAUCUUGAGUUCGGGAGAGGUGAGUGGAACUGCGAGUGUAGAGGUGAAAUUCGUAGAUAUUCGGCGGAACACCAGUGGCGAAGGCGACUCACUGGACCGGUAUUGACGCUGAGGUGCGAAAGCGUGGGGAGCAAACAGGGAUUAAGAAACCCUGGUACG